UACGAGGGGGGCGAGCGUUGUUCGGAAUUAUUGGGCGUAAAGAGUGUGUAGGCGGUGCUCUAAGUUCGGUGUGAAAUCUCCCGGCUUAACUGGGAGGGUGCGCCGGAAACUGGAGUGCUCGAACGUGGGAGAGGAAAGCGGAAUUCCUGGUGUAGCGGUGAAAUGCGUAGAUAUCAGGAGGAACACCUGCGGUGUAGACGGCUUUCUGGACCAUUGUUGACGCUGAGGCACGAAAGCGUGGGUAGCAAACAGG
rnacentral:rRNA from 1 species